UUGAUAUUAUACAGGGUGUAUCAAAAUAAACGCAAUUCAUCUUUUGUGCUUAAUAACUUUCGAAAUACUAUUUCUAGUUAAACGCUUUUAGGCUUACUUCAAAGCCUGUUCUUUUCUCUUCCAAACAAACUAUUAUCCUUGUCUCCAAUGCUAGUAAUAAUUGCACAGGAAAAGAUUUAGUAAAACCUAUCAUUUUUAGUUGCUGUUUAAUUAUGCAAGUUUACUAUGUUAUUGUUUAGUCGGUUUAAAUGUUAGAAUUUUCUUCUUUAAACUUUAAUGUUGUCGUCACUAUAUCUGGAAAACCACGUAAGAACAAAUUAAAAGUAUUUUAAAAGAGACCAGGUUGUUUGAAAAUCCUAAACGAAUGCUAAAAAUCAUAGAAUCAAAACAUUCUGGUGUCUGAGCCAGAGUGUCAUCGAAUUGCGAUGUAAUGUAAACAGAAAUUAUAGUAAGCUGAUGUCAGUCAGCUUAGAUGG